CAAUAGCGUAUAUUUAAGUUGCUGCAGUUAAAAUGCUCGUAGUUGGAUUUCGGGUGGGAAUGGCCGGUCCGCCGUUUCGGUGUGCACUUGCUACGCCCACCUUGCUGCCGGGGACGUGCUCUUGAGUUCACGCUCGGGACACGGAGUCGGCGAGGUUACUUUGAGUAAAUUAGAGUGUUCAAAGCAGGCCUACGCUCUGAAUACAUUAGCAUGGAAUAACACGAUAGGACUCUGGCCUAUCUUGUUGGUCUGUAGGACCGGAGUAAUGAUUAAGAGGGACAGUCGGGGGCAUUCGUAUUUCAUUGUCAGAGGUGAAAUUCUUGGAUUUAUGAAAGACGAACUACUGCGAAAGCAUUUGCCAAGGAUGUUUUCAUUAA
rnacentral:rRNA from 1 species